UGGGGGAUAUUGCACAAUGGGCGCAAGCCUGAUGCAGCGACGCCGCGUGGGGGAUGAAGGCCUUCGGGUUGUAAACUUCUUUUGCUCUGAACAAGGCGCACUUUGGGGUGUGUUGAGUGUAGGGGUUGAUUAGCGCCGGCUAACUACGUGCCAGCAGCCGCGGUAAUACGUAGGGCGCGAGCGUUGUCCGGAAUUAUUGGGCGUAAAGGGCUUGUAGGUGGCUGGUUGCGUCUGUCGUUAAAGCUCAUGGCUUAACUGUGGGUUUGCGGUGGGUACGGGCUGGCUUGAGUGCAGUAGGGGAGGCUGGAAUUCCUGGUGUAGCGGUGGAAUGCGCAGAUAUCAGGAGGAAUACCGGUGGCGAAGGCGGGUCUCUGGGCUGUUACUGACACUGAGGAGCGAAAGCAUGGGGAGCGAACAGG
rnacentral:rRNA from 1 species